CCUACGGGAGGCAGCAGUGAGGAAUAUUGGACAAUGGGCGCAAGCCUGAUCCAGCCAUGCCGCGUGCAGGAAGACGGUCCUAUGGAUUGUAAACUGCUUUUAUACAGGAAGAAACACCUCUACGUGUAGAGACUUGACGGUACUGUAUGAAUAAGCAUCGGCUAACUCCGUGCCAGCAGCCGCGGUAAUACGGAGGAUGCAAGCGUUAUCCGGAAUCAUUGGGUUUAAAGGGUCCGUAGGCGGUUUAAUAAGUCAGUGGUGAAAGCCCAUCGCUCAACGAUGGAACGGCCAUUGAUACUGUUAAACUUGAAUUAUUAGGAAGUAACUAGAAUAUGUAGUGUAACGGUGAAAUGCUUAGAGAUUACAUGGAAUACCAAUUGCGAAGGCAGGUUACUACUAAUAUAUUGACGCUGAUGGACGAAAGCGUGGGGAGCGAACAGGAUUAGAUACCCUGGUAGUCCACGCCGUAAACGAUGGAUACUAGCUGUUCGGAGCAAUCUGAGUGNGUAGACGAAGUAGAGUAAGUAGUACCGACCGUCGGGUAAGGUACGUUCGUUCGAGAAGUUAGAACGUAACGAAGGAAGUUAGACGGACGNGAGACGAGCGACGGACGACGACGAGGGAGGAGGAGG
rnacentral:rRNA from 1 species